rnacentral:misc_RNA from 1 species
GAUGAAGAACGCAGUGAAAUGCGAUAAGUAAUGUGAAUUGCAGAAUUCAGUGAAUCAUCGAAUCUUUGAACGCAUCUUGCGCUCCUUGGUAUUCCUUGGAGCAUGCCUGUUUGAGUAUCAUGAGCAAAUCUCAAAGUCGAUUCCUUUUGUUAAUUCAAUUGGUUUUGCUUUGGACUUGGAGGUCUUGCAGAUUUUCACAGUCUGCUCCUCUUAAAUGCAUUAGCUGGAUCUCAGUAAUUAUGCUUGGUUCCACUCGGCGUGAUAAGUAUCACUCGCUGAGGACACUGUUAAAAAGGUGGCCAGGAAAAUACUGAUUGAACCGCUUCUAACGGUCUAUUAAGUUAGACAAUUACCCUUAAGUUUGAUCUCAAAUCAGGUAGGACUACCCGCUGAACUUAAGCAUAUCAAUAAGCGGAGGA